rnacentral:rRNA from 1 species
GGGGAAUAUUGCGCAAUGGGGGGAACCCUGACGCAGCAACGCCGCGUGAGUGACGAAGGCCUUCGGGUCGUAAAACUCUGUCAUAGGGGAAGAAGGAGGUGACGGUACCCUAUGAGGAAGCCCCGGCUAACUACGUGCCAGCAGCCGCGGUAAUACGUAGGGGGCGAGCGUUGUCCGGAAUCACUGGGCGUAAAGGGUGCGUAGGCGGCCAAUUAAGUCAGAUGUGAAAUACCAGGGCUCAACCCUGGGGGUGCAUUUGAAACUGGAUGGCUUGAGUGCAGGAGAGGAAAGUGGAAUUCCUAGUGUAGCGGUGAAAUGCGUAGAGAUUAGGAGGAACACCAGUGGCGAAGGCGACUUUCUGGACUGUAACUGACGCUGAGGCACGAAAGCGUGGGUAGCGAAC